ACACAUGCAGUCGAGGGGUAUAUGUCUUCGGAUAUAGAGACCGGCGCACGGGUGCGUAACGCGUAUGCAAUCUACCUUUUACAGAGGGAUAGCCCAGAGAAAUUUGGAUUAAUACCUCAUAGUAUUAUUGAGUGGCAUCACUUAAUAAUUAAAGUCACAACGGUAAAAGAUGAGCAUGCGUCCCAUUAGCUAGUUGGUAAGGUAACGGCUUACCAAGGCAACGAUGGGUAGGGGUCCUGAGAGGGAGAUCCCCCACACUGGUACUGAGACACGGACCAGACUCCUACGGGAGGCAGCAGUGAGGAAUAUUGGACAAUGGGCGCAAGCCUGAUCCAGCCAUGCCGCGUGCAGGAUGACGGUCCUAUGGAUUGUAAACUGCUUUUGUACGAGAAGAAACACUGCUUCGUGAAGCAGCUUGACGGUAUCGUAAGAAUAAGGAUCGGCUAACUCCGUGCCAGCAGCCGCGGUAAUACGGAGGAUCCAAGCGUUAUCCGGAAUCAUUGGGUUUAAAGGGUCCGUAGGCGGUUUAGUAAGUCAGUGGUGAAAGCCCAUCGCUCAACGGUGGAACGGCCAUUGAUACUGCUGAACUUGAAUUAUUAGGAAGUAACUAGAAUAUGUAGUGUAGCGGUGAAAUGCUUAGAGAUUACAUGGAAUACCAAUUGCGAAGGCAGGUUACUACUAAUUGAUUGACGCUGAUGGACGAAAGCGUGGGGAGCGAACAGGAUUAGAUACCCUGGUAGUCCACGCCGU
rnacentral:rRNA from 1 species